GAGUGAAGCGGCAACAGCUCAAAUUUGAAAUCUGGCUCUCUUUGGGGGUCCGAGUUGUAAUUUGCAGAGGAUGCUUUGGCAUUGGCGGCGGUCUAAGUUCCUUGGAACAGGACAUCACAGAGGGUGAGAAUCCCGUACGUGGUCGCCUGCCUUUGCCGUGUAAAGCUCCUUCGACGAGUCGAGUUGUUUGGGAAUGCAGCUCUAAAUGGGAGGUAAAUUUCUUCUAAAGCUAAAUACUGGCCAGAGACCGAUAGCGCACAAGUAGAGUGAUCGAAAGAUGAAAAGUACUUUGGAAAGAGAGUCAAAAAGCACGUGAAAUUGUUGAAAGGGAAGCGCUUGCAGCCAGACUUGCCCGCAGUUGCUCACCUAGGCUUUGGCCUGGGGCACUCUUCUGCGGGCAGGCCAGCAUCAGUUUGGGCGGUUGGAUAAAGGCCUCUGUCACGUAUCUCCCUUCGGGGUGACCUUAUAGGGGAGGCGCAAUGCAACCAGCCCGGACUGAGGUCCGCGCAUCUGCUAGGAUGCUGGCGUAAUGGCUGUAAGCGGCCCGUCUUGAAACACGGACCAAGGAGUCUAACAUCUAUGCGAGUGUUUGGGUGUCAAGCCCGAGCGCGCAAUGAAAGUGAACGGAGGUGGGAACCCUUUGGGUGCACCAUCGACCGAUCCUGAUGUCUUCGGAUGGAUUUGAGUAAGAGCAUAGCUGUUGGGACCCGAAAGAUGGUGAACUAUGCUUGAAUAGGGUGAAGCCAGAGGAAACUCUGGUGGAGGCUCGCAGCGGUUCUGACGUGCAAAUCGAUCGUCAAAUUUGGGCAUAGGGGCG
rnacentral:rRNA from 1 species